CAACGAUAACCAAUAUGGCUGACCCAAAAUCCGGCAAGGCGAAAACCGUCAUAAAAUUCGUCUCUAGUCUUUGGCAUGAUCCAUUUCGAUGGGCUGUGGUGAAAAGCAAUAUGAUGUUUUGGGGCGGUGUCUACAUAGCUCGUGAAAUAGCAUCUGUUGAAUCUCUUCCUGCAUAAUCAUGAUAAGAUGAGACUUUCACCCUUUGACGAUAGAUUGGUUAUUCAGCUUACUGCAGCACCUUUCUAUUGAAAGAAAAGAGGAUUGAACAACACCACUUAUGAGGAACACUUCGGUCUCUGAUGCAUUGAUCAAUUUUGACAAGGAUUUCGGGAGUCUCAACUCGUGAACUAAACCUAUGACUCAAAACAUUGGUUAUCAACUCGAAAGUCAAAAAUAAAUUGACAUACUCUUAUAGACUGUUGAUCUUUAGGAUGUUGAAAACGGCGUUUGAUAUGGUGGUGUAACAACAUCCAAAACGCCACCUCUUGUAAAGACGUGUACAUUUUCAAUAAAGAUUUUCUGAAAAUGCAA